rnacentral:rRNA from 1 species
GACUGUGCUAAGGUAGCAUAAUAAAUUGGCUUUUAAUUGGAGUCUAGGAUAAACGGGCUUACGGAUAGAUUCUGUCUUAUAAAGACUUUAAUGAACUUUCUUAAAGGGUGAAAAUUCCCUUACACGAUAUGAAAGACGAGAAGACCCUUAGAGUUUUCAAGAACAAGUGUUAAAAUAUUCACUUUCACUUUUUGUUGGGGCGACAUAUAAGCAUAAUUGUAAACCUUCUAUUAUGAAAUUUGUACAAGUGAAUAAUUAUAAAAGAUAAAACUACCUUAGGGAUAACAGCAUAAUUUAAUUCUUAAGAUUGUGACCUCGAUGUUGGACUAGGA